rnacentral:lncRNA from 10 species
CAGCUGUUUAUGACAGCCUACUUCUUGGUCAGUGCCCUCGCAGAAAUGCCAGAUAGCGCAGCAGCUCUGCUGGGCACUUGCUGCAAACUCCAGAUCAUUCCCACACUGUGCCACUUGGUAAGCAACCUCCCAGGUGGGACCUUAGAAUGGAUAGGAAUGGGGAAAUGAUGAGGGGGUAGACAUCCAGCAGCCGGUAAAACACCUCUAGGACUUACCACAACAGCUCUUCAAGACACAUUAAGUAAGUAUUGUUAUUAACCCCACUUUUAUACACAUCCCACCCCAUGGGAAGACUGAGACCCAGAGGAAAAUGAUUUGUCCAAAUAACUUGUUAGCAGGUCCAGGACUUCAUCCUUGUCUUUCGACUCCAACUCUUAUACUUUUCCCAUUGUUUGGAGAGAAUUUUGGCCAAGGUUUGGUGUUACAUUACAAUAAAGGGGCCUGACACCA